rnacentral:rRNA from 1 species
CAGUAGCCGCGGUAAUACGAAGGGUGCAAGCGUUACUCGGAAUUACUGGGCGUAAAGCGUGCGUAGGUGGCUGUUUAAGUCGGAUGUGAAAGCCCUGGGCUUAACCUGGGAACUGCAUUCGAUACUGGAUAGCUAGAGAUCGGUAGAGGGCAGCGGAAUUCCGGGUGUAGCGGUGAAAUGCGUAGAUAUCCGGAGGAACACCGAUGGCGAAGGCAACUGCCUGGGCCUGAUCUGACACUGAGGCACGAAGGCGUGGGUAGCAAACAGGAUUAGAUACCCCAGUAGUCCCUGUCUCUUAUAC